UUUUUUUUUUUUUUUAAACUGUGCUUUAUUUAGGGCUAAGCUGGAAAGCGUCAUUCAAUAAUUACAGAAGAUUACAAGGAGUUUUAGGGAAUUGAGAGUGAAAGAGCAGUUGUAUGGAACUGCAGCUGCGUUACACAUCUGUACUUCCUAGCUGUGGGCUCAGUCUGACCGAGUUCUUACUCAUGUAGAAAACCCGCUAAAUCCCCAUGGGAGUUCUGACAGGAGAAGGACUCGUAAGAUGAGGCCCAUUAGGGAAUUAAACUUAAAAUUAAAUUAAAAUUAAAUUAAAAAAAAAAAAAAGAAAGAGAAAGGAAGAAAGUCUGAGAUUGAGAUAAAAAAUACUAAGGAAACCAAUCAAGAACAUUAAAAUAGUAAAACCAUAUAAAGGAUCAGAAACAAUUAUCACACUGCUCAAUCAAUGCAACAAGUGUGAGAAUGAUGUAAAUCAAGCUUUAAGACUGUGAAAAUAAAUUAUAAUAAAUAUGAUAUACUUUAAAAUAUAUGUGUUCUUAAAUAAUUCAUUGUUUUUCUGAGUCAGAUUUUUUAAAGCAAUGUCUUAUUUUUUAACUGCUCUAAAGUCAUUUACCAAAGAUAAAUAUCGUGCUUUCAUUAAAUAGUUUUCCUUGUUUUUUCUCUAUCAUUACAAUUAAAAGUCCUACAAAAUAUGCAAAUUUAUUUACAGAGAAACAGAGCCAGCAUCUUUAUUUUUUUUAAACAUCCCCCUGUUUUUUCAAAAUUCCUUGUAAACAGUUUCAGAAGUUCUUCAAAGAGAUUGUUUCCUUAUGGUUUUUUUUUUUAUUUUUUCUUUUUUAUGUUUUUUUUAUUAUUUUUUUUUUUAUUUUUAUUUUUUAAGAUUAAGGUUCUAGGCUAACACCUUGCCCUGAAGGUUUCUAGAGCAAAUAUGGAAGCUACUAAAGCAUAGGAUGAUGGGAAUUUUGCGGACAGCAGAUCAUGAAGACAUGAAGCGUUUAGCUGUGUUUCAUUGUUCAAGUUAGAACUAACGUCUGAUAAAAAGACAGCUGUUUUUUUUCUUUUUUUUUUUUUUUUCCCAUUUGCAUUGUCUACAGAAUUGAGUUUCGUUUCGUUUAUUUUUUUAAUAGCUGGAAUGCUUGCAGUUAAAAAAGCUGCCAAAAUAGCCAUUUCUCUCCUCUUUCUCCUCGAUAAAUAACAGCAUCCAACAGCAAUUGGCAGAGAGUAGGAAUUUAUGCUCAAUCUAAACUCUACAAAAAUUACAGUUCUACAACAUCUUUGUUUUUAGCAGUAACGCUAACUUCUAUGUAGUUUUUUUUUUUGCUUUUUUUAUUUUUUUUUCUUUUUAUGUUGUCUAAUUUUU
rnacentral:lncRNA from 1 species